AAGGCUUUAGCUUAAUUAAAGUGUCUGUUUUGCAUGCAGAAGCUGUGGGUUAGUGUCCUGCAAGUCUUA
rnacentral:tRNA from 2 species